GGUGAGAUGAAUGACCCAGAAAGGCUAAAACGGUGCUGGAGACAUCUGUGGCAGGUUCCACGACUGUGAUGGAUAAUGGCUGAAAGAGACAAACCUGUAAAACAGGCCCAGGAACUCCUCUGUUAUGCGUGUCACAAGAGGCUUUAAUGGAUUCAUUGCAAUUAUGCACAACCAUGGAAAGAAGACAGCAGCUAAUACUGCACUUGGAAUUGCCAUCUUUUGUUUUGCUCCUGGCCGGGCUUCUGUACCUUUAUCAGAUGUGCAGCAGGCAGAAAUUGUAGAGAAAUCUUUAGGUGAAACCUUGUACAUAUGUCAGCCCAACAACAACACAAUCCAAUUAUAAACAAUAUUCAACAAAAAUAUAGAAACAGAAGUGGAACAAGAUCUCCCGAGGAACAUGUCCAAAAACAGAACCCACGUAUUCACCAGUUUAUGGGAAGAUGUCACACUUAAAUCUCCUAUGGAGUAUUUCUGUAGUUAUAUUUGUUUCCAAAUCUGCCAGGCCUCCAUGGGUGGGUGAUGCCCAAAUGAAUCUUUGGAAGUAUGUUCAAUAAAUUAAUGCCAAGCUAUAUAGAAAGGGUCUGGCGCCUCUUUUCCUUGUUUUACUUUCAAUUUGUGUGUAGGCUUUUCCAUUAGAGCAAUAUUCCAAAGGGAAUUGUACCAUUGUUCAAUUGUAACUGUCUGCAGUUUUCCAUUGUGACACAAUCGUCAAUUUUGUUGCGAGUCAUGUAGAUAAUCAGUUCUUUAGAGAGCAGUUUUGAGUGUGUAUCGUCAAAGAUGUUAGUUUAGGGGAAAAUGCAAAGUGCUCCUGAGAUAUGAUUAACAUUUCAUUAUAAAUCAACGACCCAAAAUCCCGUAUUCUUUCACAAUCCCACAACAAAUGAAAGUAGGUUCCAGUCUUCCCACAUCCUCUCCAACAAAGUGGGGAGGUUGUUGAGAACAUAUGUGAAAUUUGGACAGGUGUGUAGUACCAACGAUGUACCAGUUUUAGAGAUUGUUCUUUUACAUAACUAGAAACUGACCUGAACAGUCGUAGGUCUCACAUCCCAUUCCAAUCUCGGAGCUGUAUUUUGGAACCUAUGCCCAUUUCCCAUUGAUCUUUAAGUGAGAGAGUAGAUUUUAAAGAUGUAUUAAGUAAUAUAGAGUUUAUUUUAGAGACUAGGCCUUUUCCUCCUUUGUGCAUGUCUUGAAUUAGUUGUUUAAAUGGUGUAAUAGGUCUUGUCGCUUGUUGUUUAACAUAGUUUAAUGAAAUGAAGCUGCGGAUUUGGGCCAGCGUUAGCCAGUUCAGUCUAAUUCAGUGUAAUUUAAGUUUUAGUUCCUCAGUUGAAAGUGGCAGGGAAUUUACAUGGAAAUCACAUGAUUUGUAUAAUCUUUUAUUGCGCCAACCCUUUAAUUGGAGUUCUCUACCAGAGUUAUGGAAUUUGGGAAGAAA